rnacentral:lncRNA from 1 species
GGGGCCGGAUACUCAAAACAACCCGUGGUGGCCCAGCAGUUCUGACAAACUACAGUCCUGUUGAAGAAGCUAUGCUGACACUGAUUGAGCCUGUUGCUAUUACUGGCUUACUAGGGGGUUUAUGAAAAUGAGACAGAAGUUGAUGAUGUUACAGAACCAACUCCUGGGCCAUCUGGGAUAGCAUCUCAGAUCAUAACAGACUCAGCAGUUAUUGUAACAUUGGAUGAGGGAACUUCAGCAGAGCAAGAAAUGACAAUACCCAUUGUGUCAAUGGACCACAUCCUCAGAAUUACCUCCUUUUUUAAUAGAACACAGUAACACUCAGGAUGGAUUUAGUGCAACAGUCCAACAAGCAGAGCACUUUCAAGAACAGAGCAUCUCAGCUUGAGUCAGGAGGAGGUAGUAGGCUUGAGGUAGUGCAUGGUCAAAAAAACAGAUCAGAAGAAAGGAAAAUUUUGCCUGACAUGCUUCAGGUACAAACAAAUAUAGAAAGUCAC